rnacentral:rRNA from 1 species
GCACCAUUAAUCAUGGUGGGAGACAGUGUCAGAUGGACAGUUUGACUGGGGCGGUCGCCUCCUAAAGAGUAACGGAGGCGCUCAAAGGUUUCCUCAGAAUGGUUGGAAAUCAUUCAUAGAGUGUAAAGGCACAAGGAAGCUUGACUGCGAGACUUACAAGUCGAGCAGGGUCGAAAGACGGACUUAGUGAUCCGGUGGUUCCGCAUGGAAGGGCCAUCGCUCAACGGAUAAAAGCUACCCCGGGGAUAACAGGCUUAUCUCCCCCAAGAGUUCACAUCGACGGGGAGGUUUGGCACCUCGAUGUCGGCUCAUCGCAUCCUGGGGCUGUAGUCGGUCCCAAGGGUUGGGCUGUUCGCCCAUUAAAGCGGUACGCGAGCUGGGUUCAGAACGUCGUGAGACAGUUCGGUCCCUAUCCGUCGUGGGCGUAGGAAAUUUGAGAGGAGCUGUCCUUAGUACGAGAGGACCGGGAUGGACAUACCUCUGGUGUACCAGUUGUCGUGCCAACGGCAUCGCUGGGUAGCUAUGUAUGGACGGGAUAAGUGCUGAAAGCAUCUAAGCAUGAAGCCCCCCUCAAGAUGAGAUUUCCCAACUUCGGUUAUAAGAUCCCUCAAAGAUGAUGAGGUUAAUAGGUUCGAGGUGGAAGCAUAGCGAUAUGUGGAGCUGACGAAUACUAAUCGAUCGAAGACUUAAUCAAAUU